rnacentral:rRNA from 1 species
UCAGCAUACUGCCGUGAAUACGUUCCCGGGCCUUGUACACACCGCCCGUCACACCAUGAGAGUUGGGAAUACCCGAAGCCUGUGAGCUAACAUUAAGAGGCAGCAGUCGAAGGUAGAAUCAAUGAUUGGGGUGAAGUCGUAACAAGGUAGC